GACGAACGCUGGCGGCGUGCCUAAUACAUGCAAGUCGAGCGAACAGAGAAGGAGCUUGCUCCUUCGACGUUAGCGGCGGACGGGUGAGUAACACGUGGGCAACCUACCUUAUAGUUUGGGAUAACUCCGGGAAACCGGGGCUAAUACAGCAUAAUCUGUUUCACCCCAUGGUGAAACACUGAAAGACGGUUUCGGCUGUCGCUAUAGGAUGGGCACGCGGCGCAUUAGCUAGUUGAUGGAGUAACGGAUCACAAAGGCGACGAUGCGUAGCCGACCUGAGAGGGUGAUCGGCCACACUGGGACUGAGACAGGGCCCAGACUCCUACGGGAGGCAGCAGUAGGGAAUCUUCCACAAUGGGCGAAAGCCUGAUGGGGCAACGCCGCGUGAGUGAAGUAGGAUUUCGGUUCGUAAAACGCUGUUGUAAGGGAAGAACAAGUACAGUAGUAACUAGCUGUACCUUGACGGUACCUUAUUAGAAAGCCACGGCUAACUACGUGCCAGCCGCCGCCGUAAGAC
rnacentral:rRNA from 1 species